GACAGAGGGUGCAAACGUUGUUCGGAAUUACUGGGCGUAAAGCGCGUGUAGGCGGCCCUGCAAGUCGGAUGUGAAAUCCCACGGCUCAACCGUAGAAGUGCAUUCGAAACUGCAGGGCUAGAGUCCUGGAGAGGAAGGUGGAAUGCUUGGUGUAGAGGUGAAAUUCGUAGAUAUCAAGCGGAACACCGGUGGCGAAGGCGGCCUUCUGGGACAGUGACUGACGCUGAGACGGCGAAAGCGUGGGGAAGCAAACAGGG
rnacentral:rRNA from 1 species